GUCCUUGUAACGCAGUGGACAGCGCGCUGGACUUCCAAUCCAAAGGUCGUGGGUUUGAAUCCCACCUAGGAUG